UGUAGUCUCGCACAGAUGCAUAUCAAUAAGCGGAGGAAAAGAAACUAACAAGGAUUCCCUUAGUAACGGCGAGUGAAGCGGGAAGAGCUCAAAUUUGAAAUCUUCAAGGUUUUACCUUGACGAAUUGUAGUUUAAAGAAGUGUUUUCUGUUGAAGUUUUGGUAAAAGUUCUUUGGAAUAGGACAUCAUAGAGGGUGAGAAUCCCGUAUUUGACCAUUAUUUUCAGCUGUGUGAUACACUUUCAAAGAGUCGGAUUGUUUGGGAAUGCAGUCCAAAAUGGGUGGUAAAUUUCAUCUAAGGCUAAAUAUUGGCGAGAGACCGAUAGCGAACAAGUACCGUGAGGGAAAGAUGAAAAGAACUUUGAAAAGAGAGUUAAACAGUACGUGAAAUUGUCAAAAGGGAAGCGUUUGACACCAGUGUUGUUUUCUCGAAAAUCAAUUAAAAAGAGUUUAGAUUUUGUUGUGUAUAUGACCUUAACAGCUUGCAUUUCAAUUUUCUUGCUUUUUUUAAUGCACUUUUCGUUUAACAAGUCAACAUCAGUUUCUUUUGUUGUAAAAAGGUCAUUGGAAGGUGGCUUUCUUUUCGGAGAAAGUGUUUAUAGCCUUUGACUCCUGCAAUCGGAGAGACUGAGGUCUGCAGCGUAGAUCCUUCGGGGUUAGAUACAUUUGUGCUAAGUUAUAGCUUUUUAUAGACAACUUGUUGACUAUGAUUAGUCUUGUAGCUUACUCGCUUAUGCUAUUUUACCUACGCUUAGGAUGUUGAGCGCAUGUCUCUCUCU
rnacentral:rRNA from 1 species